UUAUAUUCUCCACGGGGGGGGAUGAGAACCCCCGACCGGGGUUCGACAACUGGCAACGCCAGUUGGACAGACCGCGAGCCUGCGAGCGGGCUGCCCCGCAGGGGCGAGCGAAGCGAGUCAAUCCCCCCCUCACCGCCA
rnacentral:sRNA from 1 species